AUAAGAGUAACAUUCAUAUAUAAUAACCAUGAACAGAAGUAUAAAACCAGAACAGAGAUAGGCACUUACAUGAAAUCUCGAAGUAGAGGUAAGAGGCAGAAAACAAAAAAAAAGCUCAAAAUAGGGGUGAGAGGCAGAAAACAAACUUGAAGAACUCCUAGUAAGUACUCAGGCUUACAACAAUCACUCAGAAAUUAUAAUCACUUAGAAUACUAAAACCCUAGCUAUGAUAUUCAGAAGGAAAUCCCGAGGUGUCUUCUUUCUGAAGCAUGAUCCUCCUUUUAUAAAAUAGAAUGCAUGUAUUAGUGUAUACAUACACAUUAUAUAUGCACUUAUCUACGCGUAAUGGUACAUGUGUGUGCGCAUAUUAGUGUAUAUAUACAUCGAUAAUUGCAUAUAACUGAUAGCAAGCAACUGUAUACAUAUACGCAAAAAGAUAUGCAUAUACAUAUCGUAAAUAUACACACAUCAGUCCAUACACACCACGCAUGUAUAAUAUACAUAUCUGUGAGUGUCAGUGUUAGUGUUAGUGUUUGUGUGAGUGUGAGUGUGAGUUGUGAGUGUCUAGGUGAGGGUGAGUGUGAGUGUGACUGGGAGUGGGAGUGUGAGUGUGUGAGUGUGAGUGUGUGAGUGUAUGUGAGAGUAUGUGAGUGUGUGAGUGUGAGUGUGUGAGUGUAUGUGAGAGUGUGAGUGUGCCAACAAGUGUGAGUGUGUGUGUGUGAAUGUGUGUGUGUCAAUCUGUGUGAUUGUGAUUGCGUGAGUGAGUGUUAGUGUGAGUGUGAGUGUUAGUGUGAAUAUGAGUGUGUGUGUGUAUGAGUGUGAGUAUGAGUGUGUGUGAGUGUGAGUAUGAGUGUGUGUGUGAGAGAGAGUGUGGGUGGGAGUAUGAUUGUGCAUGAGUGUGAGUGUGUGUGUAGUAUAUAAAUCAAUGUACAUUUAUACUAAACUGUAUAAACUGAUAAAUAGUGUAUAUAUCGUCAUAUAUAUCAAUGUAAAUAGAAAUGAAUAUACUAAUGCACUAUAUGUAUAUAGUUAUGCACUUUACACAUACACACAUAUCAGUAUAUACACAACAUAUAUAUACAGACAUCACACACACACAUAUAAUAAUUAUAUAUACACCAGAUAACUAAUGUAUUAUAUGGUUAUAUGCAUCAGAAAAUAUAUAUACACUGAAAACAAUGGUAUAUAUUACUAUACAUCAAUACGUACAUAAAUUGAGCUAAUAAAUGUAUAUAUCAUCGAUAAUAAGUAUAUACAUGGUCUUAUACAUUAGUGUAUAUAUAAACCCUUUAUAUAUAUGCAUAUUAGUGUAUGUAUAUACAUUUCAAUAUACAUAUACACUACUAACUGUAUAAACUGAUAAUAAAUGCCUAUAUGGUAAUACACGUCGGUGUAUAUAAAAAUUUAUGUAUGCACUAUCAAUGCAUAAGGGUGCAUGUGCAAGCGCAUAUCAGUGUGAAUGUGAGAGUGAAUGUGUAUGUAUGUGUGCGAGUGAGUGUGAGUGUGAGUGUGAGUGUGAGUGCAAGUGUGAGUGCGUGUAUAUGUGUGUAGUAUAUAAAUCAAUGUAUAUAUACAUUAAUAAAUGUAUAAACUGAUAAUAAGUGUAUAUAUAGUCAUGUACAUCAAUGUAUAUAGAAAUGCCUAUAAUAAUGUACUGAAAAUAUACAGUUGUACACUUUACACAUACACACAAAUCCGUAUAUAUACAUCGUAUAUAUACAGACAUCACACACACACAUAUCAAUGAAUUUUUACACACUAGUAACUGUAUAUAUAGUUGAUAACAAUUUAUUGUAUGGUUAUAUGCAUCAGUAUAUAUAUAAACUUUGAAAACACUGAUAUACGUUGCUAUACAUCAAUACAUACACAAAUUGAGCUAAUAACUGCAUAUAUCACUGAUAAUAGGUAUAUACUUAGUCUUAUACAGUAAUGUAUAUACAAACCCAUUCUUAUACAUUAGUGAGUGUGAGUGUGAGUGUGAGUGUGUGUGGUGUGUGUGUGUGUUAAGAAAAAGUUACUUAAUAAAAUUGCAAACCGCAACUAAAGCUCCAAAAAAUUCACUCCAUAUUUACAUGAAAGAAACAAGAGUUUGUGUGUUAAGAAAAAAUUACUUAACAAAAUUGCAAACUACAACUAAAGCUCCAGAAAAUUCACUCCGUAUUUGCAUAAAAGAAGAAAGAGUAGUACUAUACAUGAGAAGAAAGAACCAUUAAGCAAAUCAAGCUUGCAAGAUCAAGAUCUCAAAUAUCAAAUAACGUAAAGAAAUCCACCUUGAUGUUAAGUUGCUUUCUUGCUUGUUGAUUUAAAAAAAAACUCGAUGAAGAUGAAGCUCAUCAAUAUUAAUAAAAACAAGUACAAAUAAGAAAAAAAUUUAAAUGGUCUAUCACAAUUGGGUAUUUAGCACAGCCAAUUCAUCAAGAGAAGAUACCCAUUUUUAUGCUUAAUUCUAUACAGAGUAAUAAUGAAUUUUUCUUAGGCUUAUCAGAUUAGAGGUGAUAGUAUAUAUAUAUAUGUGAGUGUGAGUGUGAGUGUGUGUGAGUUUGAGUUUGAGUGUGAGUGUGAGUGUGAGUGCGAGUGCGAGUGCGAGUGCGAGUGCGAGUGCGAGUGUGAGUGUGAGUGUGAGUGUGUGUGAGUGCGUGUGUAUAUGUGAGUGUGCGUGUGAGUGUGAGUGCGUGUGCGAGUGUGAAUGCGUGUGCGUAAAUGUGAGUAUGAGUGCGUGUGUGUAGUAUAUAAAUCAGUGUACAUAUACGUUAAUAAAUGUAUAAACUGAUAAUAAGUUUAUAUAUGAUCAUAUACAUCAAUAUAUAUAGAAAUGUAUAUAUUAAUGCACUGUAUAUAACAAUUAUGCACUUUACACAUACACACAAAUCCUCACAUACACAUCGUAUAUAUACAAACGUCACACACACACACAUGCACAUAUCAAUGUAUUUUUACACAUUAGUAACUGUAUAUAUAUUGAAUAACUAAUGUAUUGUAUGGCUAUAUGCAUCAGUAUAUAUAUAUAUAUACACUCUGAAAACAAUGGUAUAUAUUGUUAUACAUCAAUACAUAUGCAAAUUGAGCUAAUAACGGUAUAUAUCGCUGAUAAUAAGUAUAUACAUGGUCAUAUACCUUAGUGUGAGUGUGAGUAUGUGUGUGUG
rnacentral:lncRNA from 1 species